AAGCCUAACCCAGAAAUAGUCUCUCCCCUCUCUUCACUGAGAGCCAGCCAUCUGCAUCGGCCCCCGUCCCGGGACGCCUCAAAGCUGUCGCCAAGCCGAGCAGAAGAGAGGGAGAGGACGAGGGCUGUCAGCGUGAGUUAGGGCUCAUUUGCUAAUGGGCCGGUGCCGCUCGCGCUGUUAGCGCUGGGGGGGAGAGAUCAGGGAGUGCCAUGAUUUCUCAGACCUCGCCGGUGCCGCCGCUGCUUUAUGUUCCCGAGCGGAAAUCAUUGUAAAAGGGGGAGAAGAAUGCGACGGCUCAUGCGCCCUUAGCACACGGCUCUUCACGAGUGGCAACUGGUGAGGCGUCAGGUCACCUGCACAUGACAAGCUGUGGCAUACUCGUCUGCACAGGGCCGAUCCCCUGACAGAAGCCCCAGCAUGACGCGCUGAAGCACACGCCCAUCGCUAGAGACUCCGCACGCAAGCCCAGUCAACGCACUUAGGACACAGUCCAUCUGGCAGCGAGACAUUUGUUCGUGGCCUCUUCACCUCAGCGGGACUUGGAAGAUGUUACUUGUCCCCUUUUCAUCACCUCACGUAUCAAGCUGGCCUUAAGAAAAAAGAAGCUACAUUUGUUGUGGCAAACCGAUCGAAUGUUAUAAGAGCCUAAAAAUAUCUGAAUUAAUUUGAAUAUUUGAAAUAUCUUUAUACAGAGCUAAACAUAUUUGUAAUUGUUUGGAAUAAUCACAAGGACAGACACAUAAUUAGUCAACUUUCACUAAUAUUUUCUGAAAUAUAUAUAUAUAUAUCUAAAAUUCA